rnacentral:misc_RNA from 1 species
GAUGAAGAACGUAGCGAAAUGCGAUACGUAAUGUGAAUUGCAGAUUUCAGUGAAUCAUCGAAUCUUUGAACGCACAUUGCGCCCGCUAGUAUUCUGGCGGGCAUGCCUGUUCGAGCGUCAUUUCAACCAUCAAGCCCUAGGCUUGCGUUGGAGCCCUGCGGCUGCCGCAGGCUCCCAAAUCCAGUGGCGGGCUCGUCGUCGUACCGAGUGCAGUAAACAUCCUCGCUCAGGGAACGUGACGGGUUCUUGCCGUGAAACCCCCCACAUAUCAAGGUUGACCUCGGAUCAGGUAGGAAUACCCGCUGAAAUUAAGCAUAUCAAUAAGCGGAGGA